rnacentral:misc_RNA from 1 species
UCCGAGUUGUCCCCGGCAGUCUCCUUAGAGUCCCCACCAUUACGUGCUGGCAACUAAGGACAGGGGUUGCGCUCGUUGCGGCACUUAAGGCAACACCUCACGGCACGAGCUGACGACAGCCAUGCAGCACCUGUGCGGGCUCCCGAAGGAGGACCGUGUUUCCACGGCUUCACCCCGCAUGUCAAGCCCUGGUAAGGUUCUUCGCGUCGCAUUGAAUUAAUCCGCAUGCUCCGCCGCUUGUGCGGGCCCCCGUCAAUUCCUUUGAGUUUCAGCCUUGCGGCCGUACUCCCCAGGCGGGGCACUUAAUGCGUUAGCGCCGGCCCUCGGGGGGUCGCUCCCCCAAGCGCCUAGUGCCCAUCGUUUACGGCGUGGACUAC